UACGGGGGGAGCAAGCGUUGUUCGGAUUUACUGGGCGUAAAGGGCGGGUAGGCGGCCACCGCAAGUCAGUUGUGAAAUCUCUGGGCUUAACCCAGAAAGGUCAACUGAUACUGCGGGGCUAGAGUGCAGAAGGGGCAAUCGGAAUUCUUGGUGUAGCGGUGAAAUGCGUAGAUAUCUGGGAGGAACACCGGUGGCGAAGGCGGUGAGCUGGGCAGUUGCUGACACUGAGGCGCGACAGCGUGGGGAGCAAACAGG
rnacentral:rRNA from 1 species